rnacentral:rRNA from 1 species
GCCAGCAGCCUUAUCACUCUGCAACUCACAACUGGCAACCCACUGAAGCUAAGCACAUGUGAGCCUGGUCAGUACCUGGAUCGGAGACCUCCUGGGAAAAACUAAGGUUGCUGCUGGAA